GGCGUUGUGGCUCAGAGGUAGAGCGCUUGCCUAGCAUGUGUGAGGCACUGGGUUUGAUCCUCAGCAACACAU
rfam:Ictidomys tridecemlineatus contig037297, whole genome shotgun sequence.